AAUGGAAUACAGUGCCAAUGCGUGCGUGAGUCUAAUUCUUUGGAGGAGGCUGAGUGGCCAUCUGUCCAGAGUGGUUUUAUUGCAUAUUCCUGCAGGCAAUGGACUGGACUGGUCUUUUCUGUGAUUCUUCCAAAGUGACAAAAAAGAGGGAGCUGGACUUGGAAAUGGUUGCUCUCUAGAAAGUCAUCUGUCCUGCCUGGGAAAACAUGUUUGAAGUACUUGCUGAGCUGCCAUCUCAUUUCCAAUGGGAUAGAACUAGAACAUUUCCAAAAACUGUCAGGUUUAUCACCUUCUCCCAUUCCUUUGAGCAUUUUUGAAACCACAAGAGAUUAGAGAGUACCAUAUCAAACAGGAAAACUAAACUGUCAAAAUUGCGGCAUAAGUAACCAUUGAAGUCUGCAAUGCAUUCAAAUAAUAAACGAAAGAGAUGAAUAUUUUACAAUUUUGUCUAAGUUCUUCAUCACACACCUUGGCAAAUGUUUACAUUUUAAUUCAGAAUACAGAGAGUUUUCGGCCCCAAAAUCUGCUUUGAGAUUAAUUCUACAUCCAGCACACAAAUCUGCCCCAAAAAUUGCUCAACCAUGGUAUUUUAACUUACAUUUAUCAAAAGCAACUGAACUCAAUAAGUAAAGUAGAAAUCAUGUAAACUUUCAUGUGUGCACACAUUUUUCAAGUAGUAGUAGGUCCUGAAGAUCAUUAGUGCCUCACAGCCUCUGAGGAUGCCUGCCAUAGAUUGGGCAACACGUAAAGUGAUUUUAAAGAGGCAGGAUUGUUGCACUCUAAAUGUUACUCAUUCUGAUAUGGAGGGAGUGCCUGCUGAGUAUGGGGAGUUCUCUGAUGUAUUUUGUAAAAAAGAAGCGGACAAAUUACCACCGCACAGGCCAUAUGAUUGCGCCAUCAAGUUGGCAGAAGGUGCGAAACUGCCAGCAGGGAGGCUGUAUGCCUUGACUGUACCGGAAAGGCAAGCUUUGCGGGAGUUUCUAGAUGAAAAUUUAGCCAAGGGGUUUAUUCGCCCAUCUAGUUCUCCAACUGCGGCACCAGUAUUCUUUGUAGCCAAAAAGACUGGGGAACUUAGGCUGGUCUGCGACUAUCGGAUCCUAAACAAAUACACCAUUCGGGAUAGGUACCCGCUCCCUUUAAUCUCGGAACUGUUAUCAAGGGUGCAAGGGGCUAAGGUCUUUACCAAGCUUGACCUGCGGGGGGCCUAUAACUUAAUCCGUAUACGGGAAGGGGAUGAAUGGAAGACGGCAUUUAACACGUGUUUCGGAUGCCACGAGUUCCGAGUCAUGCCUUUUGGGCUUUGUAAUGCUCCUGCGGUCUUCCAGAGGUUCAUGAACGAUGUGUUCAGGGACCUAAUUGACCAAUUUUUAGUGAUUUAUUUGGAUGAUAUCUUGAUUUUUUCUAAGGACGAGAAAGAACAUCGUCAACAUGUCAAGCAG
rnacentral:lncRNA from 1 species